CCUACGGGUGGCAGCAGUGAGGAAUAUUGGUCAAUGGACGAGAGUCUGAACCAGCCAAGUAGCGUGAAGGAUGACUGCCCUAUGGGUUGUAAACUUCUUUUAUAAAGGAAUAAAACGAGGCACGUGUGCCUUUUUGCAGGUACUUUAUGAAUAAGGAUCGGCUAACUCCGUGCCAGCAGCCGCGGUAAUACGGAGGAUCCGAGCGUUAUCCGGAUUUAUUGGGUUUAAAGGGAGCGUAGAUGGGUUGUUAAGUCAGUUGUGAAAGUUUGCGGCUCAACCGUAAAAUUGCAAUUGAUACUGGCAGUCGUGAGUACAGUUGAGGUAGGCGGAAUUCGUGGUGUAGCGGUGAAAUGCUUAGAUAUCACGAAGAACCCCGAUUGCGAAGGCAGCUUACUAAACUGUGACUGACAUUGAUGCUCGAAAGUGUGGGUAUCAAACAGGAUUAGAUACCCCGGUAGUC
rnacentral:rRNA from 1 species